rnacentral:lncRNA from 1 species
UCUCACUAAACCCAGGUGGUAGCCAUCAUGCCCCAGGAUCCUCUUCUCCACCCCACCCCCACCCCCAGGACUAGGCUUGCAGACACACAGCACUGACCUGACUUUAUGUGGGUGCUGGAGACAAAUGUUGAUCCUUGUGCUUUCAAAAGUAAGUUCUCUUUGACACUGAUCUAGCUCUUUGACCACUUAAAUUAUUUUUAUCAUGUAUUACUUAGGGCUCUUGAUCACAAAUUAUAGAAGACUUUGGUGCUUGUUUAGUAGGAAGGAUUUCAUAUAUUUUUAAGACUUUAAGCCUUUAUCUCAGGGGCACACAUUGAAUUAUAUUUCCAACCUUUAGUCUGCCUUUUUCAUAGUAUUUCAUUCCUUUCACUUCAAGGCAAUUAUCCCACAGAAAUGCAGCCUACUUCUGAUAUCUGCAGAAGCUGGAGACUAACGAAGCUCAGAAAAGGGGAAUCCUUCUGCUUUUUCCUCUCCCCCUCACCCCUCUCUUACUCUCCCUUCUCUAUUCCUUUCCAACCCUUUCUCUUCCCCAGGUAGAAAACUAUCAUCAACUUUCUUAAGAAGAUUGAAGUCUCCAGUCCCUUCAAGCAAUCUGGGAAAAGUGAUGUUUCUAGAAGGGAAAAGGAAAACCAGGUCCUUGGUCUGAAAGCUAACACAAUGUGGUCUCAAGGUGGCUGCCACGGCUCCAGUCAUCAGACCAGGGAAAGUCUUCUCAAGCAAGAAGUCCAAGGGAAAUGGGGAAAAUCUGUCUACAGGAAAGAGAAAUUCAGGGUUCCAUUGGAAGGAAAGAAGCCACAGAACUUGCUGCAUUGGCAGCAGCCACUGCCUGUGGCUCAUUGUGUAUUGGGGAUUUUUAAAUCAAAGAGGGGAAACCCCACGGUGAUUUAGAAUAUGAGCAACUGAAAGCAGCUGGCACUAACUGAGCACAAGAGAAACUCAUCCUCAGAAUGAACCCACACUGCAGCAUCUCUGCACCAGUUGCUUUUGGAUGGAGGACUUAUAACUUGUAGAUGAGUAAGUUGCAAAAUGUACCUUCAGAGAAGUAUGAUAAUUGAUCUGUUUAGUGAUAUUUACUACCUGACCCAUAGCUCAUGUAUGUGUAGGCGUUAGCUUCUGCCAUGAUUUCACAUAUGAACACUGAGGCAGAGUCUGGAAAUGAAUCUUGGUGUUUUCGGGAAUCAUUGAUAUUUGGCUCUUCUAGCAACAAUGGAUCUAAAAAGAGUUCCAUUGUUUCUU